rnacentral:rRNA from 1 species
AGCGAACGCUGGCGGCAGGCCUAACACAUGCAAGUCGAACGAACCCUUCGGGGUUAGUGGCGGACGGGUGAGUAACACGUGGGAACGUGCCUUUAGGUUCGGAAUAACUCAGGGAAACUUGUGCUAAUACCGAAUGUGCCCUUCGGGGGAAAGAUUUAUCGCCUUUAGAGCGGCCCGCGUCUGAUUAGCUAGUUGGUGAGGUAAUGGCUCACCAAGGCCACGAUCAGUAGCGGGUCUGAGAGGAUGACCAGCCACAUUGGGACUGAGACACGGCCCAAACGCCUACGGGAGGCAGCAGUGGGGAAUCUUGCGCAAUGGGCGAAAGCCUGACGCAGCCAUGCCGCGUGGAUGAUGAAGGUCUUAGGAUUGUAAAAUCCUUUCACCGGUGAAGAUAAUGACUGUAGCCGGAGAAGAAGCCCCGGCUAACUUCGUGCCAGCCGCCGCCGUAACAC